UCCGUUGAGUAAAACCAAAAAUACAAAAUUGCUUAGUCAAAUUUCCUCAUUCAUUUUUUUCAUUCUUCGGUGUCUUUAAAUCUCCAUUCACAACAAACACAACUUCUUCAGAGCUUUUGUGCUCUUUUUAUUCUAGUUUAACAUUUCUUCACCUUCAUCCUUAAAGCUUCUUCCAUGAAGCAUUGGUAAACCCUAGGAAAAACUAGGUACCUUGUGGUUCAAUUUGAAGUCAAAUCAAACAAGUACAAUAUGUCAUUGCUCUUCUAUUUAAAGUUAUGCCCGAUUAAACAUGAAGUGGCUGACCAAAUAUAAGUUAUAUUUGAUAUUGGAUUUCAUAAAUGGAGGGCAUCUUUUCUUUCAUCUAUAUAGGCAGGGUAUCUUCAGGCUUUACGAGAAAAACAUAGUAUACUUGAUCUUCGAUGGUCUGCUCGAUUUCGAUAUGCAUCUAUAACUCCACUUGAGGUUGAUGGCUCAAUACACAAGUUUUUGAAGAGUGGUAGAGACCUCCAUGGCUCCUUGAUCGCUGCUAUCAUUCGAAAUUUGAAGAUAGUUAAGGUGUAAUUUGGUAGUAAGCCUUUUAAAGGGUUAUAAUGCAUUCAAGAGGGAUUUUUGAAAGACUGAUACAAAAAAUUUGUAUUGUCAUAUUUUUUGUAAUUUUGUAUAGAUGUCUAAUGACAAUGAUAAAAAAAUAAAAUUUAUGAUUCAUAGCAUAAAA